rnacentral:misc_RNA from 1 species
CGCGAGCUUUCUAUCGCAAACGUCCAAGUCGUCUCGCAACCGAUACACAACACACUACACAGUGAAGAAAAAAAAAGUGGAAAGUUUACGAGGGAAGAGCGCGCACGCGUACACUUCGCCUACGUGCUGCCCAAUGUUGUGUGAGGUGCACUGGUAACGUGCACACUCUGCGUUACCAAAAGGGACUAUGCUCUAAGGAAGAAGGAUGAAAGGACAGGUCGGGAAGAGGAGGAGGGAGAAGGAGAAGAUUCGUAACGGGGUUUGGAGGGGUAAAGUCAGGGAAAAGGAACAGGACACGCGGUUCGAUUAUAAACGUCGGUUGAUAUUCGCCAACAUGGACGGAACAUUAGAAAAACACGAAGCCUGGCAUCUGGAUGUCGUAUAAAAUUGUUCCCACGAGCAACAUGCGGCUUGUAUAUAUAUAUAUAUAAUUGGCAAGACAUAGCGUUGUAAACAGACAAGAGUAUCGCAAGUGUCUUCCUUCGUAGUACACGAAGUAUGUAAGUGCCGUAGUAAACCAUGCGGGACAUCGGUGAUCGCGCAGGACGAGAUCGAAGAGUACACAAGCAACGAAAAGAAAGAAAAGAAGAAACGAGAAAAUGCAAUCCAUGCACUUACCGAUAAGUGGUAAAAUUUAGUAUUAAACUUUAGAUCCAUUUGUCAAUCAGUUAACAUACCGAUUGUUCGAUCUCGUUAAUUAUAUGACGAAAUUAUCACGGUUCGUUUUAGUAGAUACCUACCAUACCUAUUCGUUAAUUUUUCUUCUAUAAACCGACUGUGAUUACUAACUACUCUUAUUUAAGUAAUUAAUUUUUCUCACUUCCUUCGUAGUAUAAACAUUAAGGAUACGUAUGUUAAUACG